AACGAACGCUGGCGGCAUGCCUAACACAUGCAAGUCGAACGAGACCUUCGGGUCUAGUGGCGCACGGGUGCGUAACGCGUGGGAACCUGCCCUUAGGUUCGGAAUAACUCCCCGAAAGGGGUGCUAAUACCGGAUAAUGUCUUCGGACCAAAGAUUUAUCGCCUUUGGAUGGGCCCGCGUUGGAUUAGCUGGUUGGUAGGGUAAAAGCCUACCAAGGCGACGAUCCAUAGCUGGUCUGAGAGGAUGAUCAGCCACACUGGGACUGAGACACGGCCUAGACUCCUACGGGAGGCAGCAGUGGGGAAUAUUGGACAAUGGGCGAAAGCCUGAUCCAGCAAUGCCGCGUGAGUGAUGAAGGCCUUAGGGUUGUAAAGCUCUUUUACCCGGGAUGAUAAUGACAGUACCGGGAGAAUAAGCUCCGGCUAACUCCGUG
rnacentral:rRNA from 1 species